UUAAGUGAAUAAGGGCGCACGGUGGAUGCCUUGGUACUAGGAGCCGAAGAAGGACGGAACUAACACCGAUAUGCUUUGGGGAGCUGUAAGUAAGCUAAGAUCCAAAGAUUUCCGAAUGGGGGAACCCAACACCUUUCAUAGGGUGUUACCAAUGAGUGAAUACAUAGCUCAUUAGGAGGUACACGCAGGGAACUGAAACAUCUCAUUACCUGCAGGAAGAGAAAGAAAAAUCGAUUCCCUGAGUAGCGGCGAGCGAAACGGGAGGAGCCCAAACCAACGAGCUUGCUUGUUGGGGUUGUAGGACUAGAACGUGAGAAGAAAUCAAGAUAGCAGAAGUGGUCUGGAAAGGCCCAUCAAAGAAGGUGACAAUCCUGUACGCGACAUCUUGAUGAACUCUACUAGCAUCCUGAGUACGGCGGGACACGAGGAAUCCCGUCGGAAUCCGCCAGGACCAUCUGGCAAGGCUAAAUACUACCUAGUGACCGAUAGUGAACCAGUACCGUGAGGGAAAGGUGAAAAGAACCCCGGGAGGGGAGUGAAAGAGUACCUGAAACCGUGUGCUUACAAGUAGUCAGAGCCCGUUAAUGGGUGAUGGCGUGCCUUUUGUAGAAUGAACCGGCGAGUUACGUUUACAUGCGAGGUUAAGAUGAAGAGUCGGAGCCGUAGCGAAAGCGAGUCUGAAUAGGGCGCAUGUAGUAUGUGGACGUAGACCCGAAACCAAGUGAUCUACCCAUGUCCAGGUUGAAGGUGCGGUAAAACGCACUGGAGGACCGAACCAGGGCACGUUGAAAAGUGCUUGGAUGACUUGUGGGUAGCGGAGAAAUUCCAAACGAACUUGGAGAUAGCUGGUUCUCUCCGAAAUAGCUUUAGGGCUAGCGUCGACAUAAAGAUUCUUGGAGGUAGAGCACUGUUUGGGUGAGGGGUCCAUCCCGGAUUACCAAUCUCAGAUAAACUCCGAAUGCCAAUGAAUUAUGGUCGGCAGUCAGACUGCGAGUGCUAAGAUCCGUAGUCGAAAGGGAAACAGCCCAGACCACCAGCUAAGGUCCCAAAAUAAUUGUUAAGUGGAAAAGGAUGUGGGGUUGCACAGACAACUAGGAUGUUAGCUUAGAAGCAGCUAUUCAUUCAAAGAGUGCGUAAUAGCUCACUAGUCGAGUGACCCUGCGCCGAAAAUGUACCGGGGCUAAAACAAUUUACCGAAGCUGUGGAUCCUUUAGGGGAUGGUAGGAGAGCGUUCUAUGUGUGGUGAAGGUGUACCGUGAGGAGCGCUGGAACGCAUAGAAGUGAGAAUGCCGGUAUGAGUAGCGAAAGACAGGUGAGAAUCCUGUCCACCGUAAGACUAAGGUUUCCAGGGGAAGGCUCGUCCGCCCUGGGUUAGUCGGGACCUAAGGAGAGACCGAAAGGUGUAUCCGAUGGACAACAGGUUGAUAUUCCUGUACUAGAGUAUGUAGUGAUGGAGGGACGCAGUAGGCUAACUAAAGCAGACGAUUGGAAGUGUCUGUCUAAGCAGUGAGGUGUGAAUUGAGUUAAAUGCUUAGUUCUAUAACAUUGAGCUGUGAUGGGGAGCGAAGUUUAGUAGCGAAGUUAGUGACGUCACACUGCCAAGAAAAGCUUCUAGCGUUUAAACAUACUCUACCCGUACCGCAAACCGACACAGGUAGUCGAGGCGAGUAGCCUCAGGUGAGCGAGAGAACUCUCGUUAAGGAACUCGGCAAAAUGACCCCGUAACUUCGGGAGAAGGGGUGCUGGUAGCAAUACCAGCCGCAGUGAAUAGGCCCAGGCGACUGUUUAUCAAAAACACAGGUCUCUGCAAAAUCGAAAGAUGACGUAUAGGGGCUGACGCCUGCCCGGUGCUGGAAGGUUAAGAGGAGAGGUUAGCGCAAGCGAAGCUUUGAAUUGAAGCCCCAGUAAACGGCGGCCGUAACUAUAACGGUCCUAAGGUAGCGAAAUUCCUUGUCGGGUAAGUUCCGACCCGCACGAAAGGCGUAACGAUUUGGGCACUGUCUCAACGAUGGACUCGGUGAAAUCAUAGUACCUGUGAAGAUGCAGGUUACCCGCGACAGGACGGAAAGACCCCAUGGAGCUUUACUGUAGUUUGAUAUUGAGUGUUUGUGUCACAUGUACAGGAUAGGUAGGAGCUGAAGAAUCCGGGACGCCAGUUUCGGAGGAGGCAACGGUGGGAUACUACCCUUGUGACAUGACCACUCUAACCCGCACCCCUUACCGGGGUGGGAGACAGUGUCAGACGGGCAGUUUGACUGGGGCGGUCGCCUCCUAAAGUGUAACGGAGGCGCCCAAAGGUUCCCUCAGAAUGGUUGGAAAUCAUUCGAAGAGUGUAAAGGCAGAAGGGAGCUUGACUGCGAGACCAACAAGUCGAGCAGGGACGAAAGUCGGGCUUAGUGAUCCGGUGGUACCGUAUGGAAGGGCCAUCGCUCAACGGAUAAAAGCUACCCUGGGGAUAACAGGCUUAUC
rnacentral:rRNA from 1 species